UACGAAGGGGGCUAGCGUUGCUCGGAAUCACUGGGCGUAAAGGGUGCGUAGGCGGCGUGGUAAGUCAGAUGUGAAAUCCCGGGGCUCAACCCCGGAACUGCAUCCGAUACUGCCGUGCUCGAGGGUUGGAGAGGUAGCUGGAAUUAUCGGUGUAGCAGUGAAAUGCGUGGAUAUCGAUAGGAACACUCGUGGCGAAGGCGAGCUACUGGACAACAUCUGACGCUGAGGCGCGAAGGCCAGGGGAGCAAAAGGG
rnacentral:rRNA from 1 species